CACGUAGUUAGCCGUGGCUUUCUGGUGAGGUACCGUCAAGGUACCAGUAGUUAGUUGGUACUUGUUCUUCCCUCACAACAGAGUUUUACGAUCCGAAAACCUUCGUCACUCACACGGCGUUGCUCCGUCAGACUUGCGUCCAUUGCGGAAGAUUCCCUACUGCUGCCUCCCGUAGGAGUCUGGGCCGUGUCUCAGUCCCAGUGUGGCCGAUCACCCUCUCAGGUCGGCUACGCAUCGUCGCCUUGGUGGGCCAUUACCCCACCAACUAGCUAAUGCGCCGCGGGCCCAUCCUGCAGUGACAGCCGAAACCGUCUUUCCGUGGAACCUCAGGAGAGGUUCCAAACUAUUCGGUAUUAGCACCGGUUUCCCGGAGUUAUCCCGAUCUGCAGGGCAGGUUGCCCACGUGUUACUCACCCGUCCGCCGCUAAACGCUUGGAGCAAGCUCCAAGUGUUCCGCUCGACUUGCAUGCAUUAGGCACGCCGCAGCGUUCGUCCUGACGCCAGGCUCAACGUCUACC
rnacentral:rRNA from 1 species